rnacentral:rRNA from 1 species
CAGCAGCCGCGGUAACACGUAGGUGGCAAGCGUUGUCCGGAAUUAUUGGGCGUAAAGGGCUCGCAGGCGGUUUCUUAAGUCUGAUGUGAAAGCCCCCGGCCCAACCGGGGAGGGUCAUUGGAAACUGGGAAACUUGAGUGCAGAAGAGGAGAGUGGAAUUCCACGUGUAGCGGUGAAAUGCGUAGAGAUGUGGAGGGACACCAGUGGCGAAGGCGACUCUCUGGUCUGUAACUGACACUGAGGAGCGAAAGCGUGGGGAGCGAACAGGAUUAGAUACCCCAGUAGUCCCUGUCUCUUAUCC